UGAAGAGUGGAAGUUCUGUUUGGGUUUCUCUUAUCAGGGACACAGAGACAAGCGGUACAUAAAACUAUUUUUUCACUUCUGGCUUGCUUGCUGCUUUUGCUUGCUCUCUUUUUCUGCUCUUGCUUCUGCUCUGCUUUCGCCUCUGCUUAUUAGCUAAACAGUCCAUAUUCCUUCCUGGACUGUUUCUCCUCUCCUGUUUCUGUGACCAUCUUGAACCUGCUCCGGACUGGGAACCGGGAACACUGAAGGUUCGGCUGCAGCAGCUGGCCCAGCGCCGGAGGGACUGAGAACAGAGCAACCAUCCCCCCGAAAGAGACUUUCUGAUUUUAUCAUCUUUCUCAAAGCGGUGUCAUCGGGUAUUGUUCAUUUUGUGUGCUGGGUGGUGCUGGGCCAGUCAAAUAAACAGGUUCUUUCCACCUCUCUCCAAGGAAUUUUUUCCCGAACGGGUUGGGGGGAGGGGCUGUGUGGGUUUUGCUUUCUGGAGGGGCCCUCCUUUGCAGAUUCUUUAACAAAUUUGCCCUAAAUCAGGACACCGCCCCGAUUACAUUCUGCCUCGGCGGGGAGGGGAGUGCUCUGGCCCAAUGGGCACCUAUAGCCCAGGCCUGGAUUAAGGAACUGUGCAAGGCCUAGAGGGAGCACUCCUGGGAAUCUGAGUAUUUACGGGGCCUCCUUCGCCUGGUCCUUGCACAGGGAGAUCUGGUGCCCACGGACCUGAGGGCUCUCCUCUCUAGCAUUUUAGGGCCCAUGGAAUUCAGGGUCUGGGUGGGAGAACAGAGGAGGGAGAUUGUGGAGGUUCUCUCAGUGCUUUGGGGGAACCCCUCCACAUCUCAUGACACUGAGGGCUUGGCAAUUUCUGAGGACCAUCUUGUGGGUGAACGGGGCAGCUCAGGCAAAGGCAUUGUUCAAAGAACAACUUGUGGAAACAGGGAAAGCUGCAGAGCAUGCUUUUUAUAAACUAGCUACUACCACCUCACAGCUAGAAGAAGAAGAAAUAAGGCAGGGCACGCAGGAAUCUUACCUGGCAUUUAUGGAAAGACUCUACUGGUUCGUUUAGGUGCAGGUUCCGGGGGAGAGGGAGAGAGAGGAGAUGCUUAGGCAGAUGGCUUAUUACAAUGCCAACACAGCGUGCAGGCGGGCUAUCCGAUCUCUCCCUCGAAACCCCCGACCCACCGUGGAAAUGAUGAUCGAAAUGUGUGCCAGGAAGGUUCCUCUGCAAGACCUGAAAGCACGCCCCAAAAGAGCCUCUGUAGCCUUCGCAGAGUAUCCAACGCCAGAGGACACAGAUGCCGAAGCUGCCGCCGCCACCAGACCAAUGACACCAGGGUCCAGGAGAAGGACGACGGCGACUCACCCCUGGCACCUCUGUGGCAAAGUGGGCCACUGGAUGCCCCAAUGCCCUAUGAGGCAAGAUUACUUAGAAUAUAGGAGGAGGAAAGAGGAGGAGGAAAAACAGCAAAAAAACUAGCUCAAGAGCGCAGCCCCUCCCUGUGCCAAGAUAAAAAUGAGGCGCGUGAUGUAACAUCAAGCAGGGAGGGACUAACAAAGGGGAACCCAUCAUUCACGUUACCGGACUUGUCUUAUUUCUUAUCUAUACCUGAUGUGACAUUUAACAACUGUGGUUUACAGCCUCAACCUGUGCUUAACACCUUGUCCUCUGCUUCCCCAUACAGGCUUCAGCUCACGAGGGGCAUACACCUCCCCAAAAGUGAUUUACAACUGGUGUCUGUCGACCUCCAACAUCCGGGUCGAUGGAGGAGUUUAGGACGUUGCAGGUGGACUGUCGUCGGAGAUACUAAGCACACGCCGUGAGACCUUUACAUCGUCCCAGGGUUGACCACUACGGACUGGGACCGUUUCGCGGUAGGGCUGUACUGUGUCUGACCCCCACUCUUCCUCCCCAAGGGACAAAUCAUCACCCAGGCCAUUCCAUUUCCUGAUAAGGACCAUUGGAAGAAGACAUCAGGAGACUCCUCACCCCCGACGGUGGCCUGGGCAUGAUGCCCCGCCUUUUGCCUUCAUGGCUCCUUCCAUCAACCGUGAGUCCCUGGACAAGCGCUACCCCUGGCAAUGCCUUCCGCAAGGAAUGAAGAACUCCCCUGUGAUUCACCAGUGUACACCUCCCCGAUGGCCCCCACAUUGACAUCGUUGGCUCCCAACCCUAGUCUUCUACUGUUAAUGCUGACAACCUACGGACUCCUGCUGCCAUCUUCGGAGCCGUGGGUCGUCCCCCAGCCAAAGAUCAAUGUCUGGCGUGCCUUGGCUCAGUCUUUAGGACAGGACCACAUUUGCCUCGACACCGGCACAGAAGAGGACCCGAUGUCGUCUUGCCUUGUGGGGAUCCCUUUCUCUCCAGGCGAGUUCCCAUCCGCCUUUCAGUCAGCCCUUUCCCCUAUUUUGGCUCAGAGCCUUACUAUCCUCCUGAGUUUUGAUUCUAGUAAUGCCUGGAGAGACGGAGUGCAUAGGCUGGAUCCUUUAUCCUCUGAGCCCACAGAAUUACAUCUUCUCGGUUCCGCCAAUGCCUCUGUUUGUUUUCAAUUUGAUUACACCUUUGCCCCUAUAGAGAAGGGCAGUGAGGUGGUCCAGCAAACUAAAAUAGAAUAUCAGGCAAACCAGUGGUGCAAAGCCGUGCUGAAGAUCAGUGGCCCCACCACCACAGGACGGAUCCCUUAUGCCCUUCCUAGGGGAGCGUUUUUGAUUUGUGGCAACCGGGCGCAGGCAGGCAUCCCCUCUGGUCUGAUCGGAGGGCCGUGCACUUCUGGCAGACUGACGCUGUUCACCCCCAACAUGACCCAAAUUGUCAACUGGAAAAAGGCAAAUGUCACGUCCAAAUGGGCCAGAGUUAAAAGAGAUCUCAAGGAUCUCCCUGAGGACUGUGACAGCGAAAUUACGCAUUGGUCUCACUCUAAAUCCGUCGCUUUUACCAUUCUAUUGCCUUGGGUAUCCGUGGCGAAGUCUCUAGGUGAAUUGGGCCGCCUAGAGUGUUGGGUGGCAAAGCAAGCCAAUUUUACAUCAGCUGCCCUAUACGACCUCCUCACAGACGAGGAAAUAACAAGAAAGGUGACACUUCAAAACAGGGCAGCAAUUGAUUUUCUAUUGCUGUUACAUCAUCACCACUGUGAGGAGUUCAAGGGCCUCUGCUGCAUGAACCUGUCCUCCCGAGCCGAAGAUGCCGGACACACUGUCAAGAGGCUGCAGGACCUAAUACACCAAGUUAAACAAGAGACCUCUGACUGGCUGGGGGACAUUUUUAAGGGUUGGGGCCUUAGCGGGUGGGCCGGUUCAAUUUUGGAAUCAAUUUGUAAAGUUGUUUUAGGUUUGAUUGUACUUUUAGUUCUUGUUGCUUUUAUUCAAUGCCUGGUUAAAAGACUCGUGAUGAAAGUGUCAACGCCAAGUGUGAACCAUGCCACCGUUCCCCUCAAUGAGCCCAUCGAGCUGGAGGACCUCUCCUUGGAGGCUGGAGAAACAGUGGAUGAAGAGGGGGCGACCAUGCUGCCCCUGGACCACCUAUGGGCGGACAGACUCCAGCUUGAGGAGGGCGAGACUUGCUGGGACCAGCCGCGGGUCCCUGCAGUUUAAGUUUUACAUGGACUUUUCCGUUCCUUUUAUUUUUAUUUGGUAAAAAACGGGGAGAUGUUGUAGUGUGUUCGUUAAGUUCAUUUAAUUCCUCCCCCAUUUUAUGUAUCUGCUCCCCCCCAUUUUGUGUAAAAUGGUUCUGCCCUCCUCAGUUUUCCCGCCACAGCCCUGCCAGUUCUAUUGUCAAUCUUUUAGGUUAUAUAAUUCCUCCUCCCCUUUUUCCCUUAUAUGUAUGCUUUUUCUCCUCCCUGGGCCAAGUCAAUCACCCCCCCACUCCACCUAGUAUUCCAGGAGCUUCUCCUCUUUGGGGGUUGUGGUUGGCUGUGCUCCCGGGACCCCUCCCAUACCUGGUACCUAUUGGGCUCUCCACUAUGUCAUUUGUGUUAAGCUCAUCCCCUCUUCUCCCCCUAUUGGUCUUCUGUAAACCCCUCUCGGGUCCACCCCUUCACUUUAUAACCCUUAAGCACCCUUUGCUCUUGGUCAUUCGCUGAUACAUUGUGGGCUUUGCAAUAAACCAAGUUUAGCCCCCCC